rnacentral:rRNA from 1 species
ACUCCUACGGGAGGCAGCAGUAGGGAAUAUUGCACAAUGGGGGAAAGCCCUCGAUGCAGCAAUGCCACGUGAGCGAGGAAGGUCUUCGGAUUGUAAAGCUCUGUCCUAUAGGAAGAAUGGUAUUAUGGUUAAUGACCAUCAGUAUUUGACGGUACUAUAGAAGAAAGCACCGGCUAACUCCGUGCCAGCAGCCGCGGUAAUACGGAGGGUGCAAGCGUUGUUCGGAUUUACUGGGCGUAAAGCGCGCGCAGGCGGAUAAGCAAGUCAGAUGUGAAAUCUCGGGGCUCAACCCCGAAAACUGCGUCUGAAACUGUUUAUCUAGAGUCUCACAGGGGGUAGGGGAAUUUCACGUGUAGGGUAAAAUCCGUAGAGAUGUGAAGGAACACCGGUGGCGAAGGCGCCUACCUGGAUGAGUACUGACGCUGAGGCGCGAAAGCGUGGGGAGCAAACAGGAUUAGAUACCCUGGUAGGAUAGCGU